UACGUAGGGCGCAAGCGUUGUCCGGAAUUAUUGGGCGUAAAGAGCUCGUAGGCGGUUUGUCGCGUCUGCUGUGAAAACCUAAGGCUCAACCUUGGGCUUGCAGUGGGUACGGGCAGACUAGAGUGCGGGUAGGGGUGACUGGAAUUCCUGGUGUAGCGGUGGAAUGCGCAGAUAGUCAGGAGGAACACCGGUGGGCGAAGGCAGGUCUCUGGGCCGCAAC
rnacentral:rRNA from 1 species